UCUGAAUGGAUUUUGCUACUUUCUCCGGGCGGUAAAUUCCCCUAUGCGGAGGAGCGUUCAGUUCAUCUCUCUAUGCAGUUUGUCAUACGCACGCGGAUUAGUUUGAACUGGCUAAUUCAUCGGGAGGCACCCGACGCCGCAAUACACUAUACAGGCAUUCCUUGAGUCAAUUAUUUGCCAGCACGUUAUUAGUGCUGGCUUUUUUUUGUU
rnacentral:sRNA from 1 species